UACGUAGGGUGCGAGCGUUGUCCGGAUUUAUUGGGCGUAAAGAGCUUGUAGGCGGCUCGUCACGUCGGGUGUGAAAACUCGCGGCUCAACCCGCGAGCCUGCACCCCGAUACGGGCGGGCUAGAGUUCGGGCAGGGGAGACUGGAAUUCCUGGUGUAGGCGGUGGAAUGCGCAGAUAUCAGGAGGAACACCGGUGGCGAAGGCGGGUCUCUGGGCCGAUACUGACGCUGAGAAGCGAAAGCGUGGGGAGCGAACAGG
rnacentral:rRNA from 1 species